UGAAGUUAGCGGCGGACGGGUGAGUAACACGUGGGUAACCUGCCCAUAAGACUGGGAUAACUCCGGGAAACCGGGGCUAAUACCGGAUAAUAUUUUGAACCGCAUGGUUCGAAAUUGAAAGGCGGCUUCGGCUGUCACUUAUGGAUGGACCCGCGUCGCAUUAGCUAGUUGGUGAGGUAACGGCUCACCAAGGCAACGAUGCGUAGCCGACCUGAGAGGGUGAUCGGCCACACUGGGACUGAGACACGGCCCACACUCCUACGGGAGGCAGCAGUAGGGAAUCUUCCGCAAUGGACGAAAGUCUGACGGAGCAACGCCGCGUGAGUGAUGAAGCUUUCGGGUCGUAAACUCUGUUGUUAGGGAAGAACAAGUGCUAGUUGAUAAGCUGGCACCUUGACGGUACCUAACCAGAAGCCACGGCUAACUACGUGCCAGCAGCCGCGGUAUACGUAGGUGGCAAGCGUAUCAGGAUAUGGGCGUAAGCGCGCGCAGUUGUUUCUUAGUCUGAUGUGAAGCCCACGCUCACCGUGGAGGGUCAUUGGAACUGGAACUUGAUGAAAAGAAAGUGGAAUCCUGUGUACGGUGAAUGCGUAAGAUAUGAGGACACCAUGGCGAAGCUACUUUCUGUCUGUACUGACACUGAGGCCGAAACGUGGGAGCAACAGGAUAAUAACCUGUAUCCACGCGAACGAUGAUGCUAAUGGUAAAGGUUUCGCCCUUUAGUGCUGAAGUUAACGCAUUAAGCACUCCCGCCCUGGGGAGUACCGCCGCAAGGCUGAAACUCAAAGGGAAUUGACGGGGGCCCGCACAAGCGGUGGAGCAUGUGGUUUAAUUUGAAGCAACGCGAAGAACCUUACCAGGUCUUGACAUCCUUUGAAAACCCUAGAGAUAGGGGUUUUCCUUUGGGAGCAGAGUGACAGGUGGUGCAUGGUUGUUGUCAGCUUGUGUCGUGAGAUGUUGGGUUAAGUCCCGCAACGAGCGCAACCCUUGAUUUUAGUUGCCAUCAUUAAGUUGGGCACUUUAAGGUGACUGCCGGUGACAAACCGGAGGAAGGUGGGGAUGACGUCAAAUCAUCAUGCCCCUUAUGACCUGGGCUACCCACGUGCUACAAUGGACGGUACAAAGAGCUGCAAGACCGCGAGGUGGAGGUAAUUUCAUAAAACCGUUUUCAGUUCGGAUUGUAGGGUGCAACUCGCCUACCUGAAGCUGGAAUCGCUUGUAAUCGCGGAUCAGCCUGCCGCGGUGAAUACGUUCCCGGGCCUUGUACACCCCGCCCGUCCCCCCCCGAGAGUUUGUAACACCCGAAG
rnacentral:rRNA from 2 species